rnacentral:lncRNA from 1 species
GUUUUCUUUGGGGGGUUACCUGGUACUUUGCACUAAGAAAACUGAACUUAGUUAAAAAAAGAAUCUCACCAUAAAGGGAGAAGAUUUGAAUCCUCUGUUUUACAUUAUAGAUGGUUUGUUUGAGAAUUAGAUCUGCCAUUAGGUGCUUCAAAUACUUAACUCUUUCAACUCAAAAUGAAACUUGAACAUGUUAUGGAAAUGUCCCACAAUAGAAUUAGGCACAUUCCCAACCAAGAGACAGAACCCGCAUCUCGCGCAGUGGCAGGUGGACUCUUUACCACUGAACCACCUGGGAAGCCCUCUAAGAGUGGGAGUACGCAUUACGGACAAGCAAGACUUGCUGAAGUAUUGGAGCCAAAUAAUGAAAUGAUACAAAAAGUGUGGUAUGGACUUAAUAAAAGGAACCUUGGAUUGGAAUUCAUUCUGCAUGAGUAGAGAGUGACUCUUGAUGUAGCAGUCUCCCGGAAAUGCUAGCAGUCCAGGAAAAUCAGCAAAUAUGGUAAUUUUGUGGCUUCCAUAUAGCAGUUUUAGUAGAGGGUAUAAGUUUCACAUGUAUCUACUAAAGGGAAUACGAAAGGUAGAAUACUUGUCUGUUUCACAUAUUAACCAUAUUUGGCAUUUAAGAACUGUGAAGAGUCUGAAAUUUACCCUACUUGCAGGCUAACAGGUUACCUUGCCACAGGUUCAUAGAUGCUGAUAGAAGAAAGGAGAAUCCUGGUCAGAGGCAAAGAACCAUGUAUUACUGACGGCAAUAUCAGCAGCCAGUGUUUAUCAGUAUUUGUCCAUUUCCCCAAGUUCCAAUUCCACUGAGCAAUGAAAAGUAGGUCAGGUGGUGCCAAACAACUGAGGGACCCCAAAUUUAGGGCAUCCACAUAUUUUAUAAAGGGCAGUAAGCAUCCCUGACCUUUGCCACAGAAGGUGAUACUAUCUCCAUUUUCCAAGGAUGUUUACUAUACAAACCUCUUUGAAAAGGUGAUGUGGAACAAAGGCAAUCAGUGCCUCUGUCCAUGAGACAUGCAGAAACAAGAGAUCCAAAGGGGAUUGUCCCUAACAACUGCAGAUAGCUUGAC